rnacentral:rRNA from 1 species
AACGCUAGCUACAGGCUUAACACAUGCAAGUCGAGGGGUAGCAGGGUAGCAAUACCGCUGACGACCGGCGCACGGGUGAGUAACACGUAUCCAACCUUCCCAUAACUCGGGGAUAGCCUUUCGAAGGAAAGAUUAAUACCCGAUAGUACUUAAGAAAGGCAUCUUUUUUAAGUUAAAGAUUUAUUGGUUAUGGAUGGGGAUGCGUUCCAUUAGAUAGUUGGUGAGGUAACGGCUCACCAAGUCUUCGAUGGAUAGGGGUUCUGAGAGGAAGGUCCCCCACAUUGGUACUGAGACACGGACCAAACUCCUACGGGAGGCAGCAGUGAGGAAUAUUGGUCAAUGGGCGAGAGCCUGAACCAGCCAAGUAGCGUGAAGGAUGAAGGUCCUAUGGAUUGUAAACUUCUUUUAUAGUAGAAUAAAGUGAACCACGUGUGGUUUUUUGUAUGUAUACUAUGAAUAAGGAUCGGCUAACUCCGUGCCAGCAGCCGCGGUAAUACGGAGGAUCCGAGCGUUAUCCGGAUUUAUUGGGUUUAAAGGGUGCGUAGGCGGAAUAAUAAGUCAGUUGUGAAAGUUUGCGGCUCAACCGUAAAAUUGCAGUUGAUACUGUUAUUCUUGAGUGUACAUAAGGUAGGCGGAAUUCGUGGUGUAGCGGUGAAAUGCUUAGAUAUCACGAAGAACUCCGAUUG